UACAGAGGCCUCGAGCGUUAGGCGGAAUUACUGGGCGUAAAGCGCGUGUAGGCUGUUCGGAAAGUCGGGUGUGAAAGCCCUGGGCUCAACCUAGGAAGUGCACUCGAAACUCCCGAACUGGAGUCCCGGAGAGGAAGGUGGAAUUCUCGGUGUAGAGGUGAAAUUCGUAGAUAUCGAGAGGAACAUCGGUGGCGAAGGCGGCCUUCUGGACGGUGACUGACGCUGAGACGCGAAAGCGUGGGGAGCAAACAGG
rnacentral:rRNA from 1 species